UACGUAGGUGGCAAGCGUUGUCCGGAUUUAUUGGGCGUAAAGGGCGCGUAGGCGGACAGUUUAGUCAGAGGUGAAAGCCCAGGGCUCAACCUUGGAAUUGCCUUUGAUACUGGCUGUCUUGAGUUCGGGAGAGGUGAGUGGAAUGCCGAGUGUAGAGGUGAAAUUCGUAGAUAUUCGGCGGAACACCAGUGGCGAAGGCGACUCACUGGCCCGAUACUGACGCUGAGGCGCGAAAGCGUGGGGAGCAAACAGG
rnacentral:rRNA from 1 species